GGAGUGGGUGUUUGGAAUAUACAAAGAAUUUGGAGGAAAGCAAUGUUGCAAAUACAACAAGGUCAAGAGGUGGAUGUUGCCAAUCGGAGAAAAGGAAAUUGUGUAAGAAAGCCUAAGGACAUUAACCUAGAAAAAAUCCUAACAAUCCCAUUCAAUAGAAGGUCUACUAUUAGGUCACUAGCCUGGCAACUGGGAUGUAGCCCUACCACACUUCAUAGAAAGUUUAUGCUGAAUUUGAUAAGGAGGCAUACAAACUGUGUGAAGCCAGCUCUAAAGGAAAAGAAUAAGAUGGAUAGGAAAAAAAAUUGUUUGUCGAUGCUUGAUGAGGCAACAAUAACAACUGCGAAGCCUAAGUUCAAGACUAUGCAUAAUGUUGUCCAUAUUCACGAGAAGUGGUUUAACAUGACAAAGAAGAAUAGAACAUAUUAUCUACUGGAUGGGGAGGAAGAGCCUACGAGGCCUAUACAUGGCAAUUGUAUUGGCAAGGUGAUGUUCUUAACGACCGUUGCUAGGCCAAGGUGGGAUAGUGAAGGAAACGUGACCUUCUCUGGGAAAAUCGGUAUCUGGCCAUUCGUGAAAGAAGUUCCUACUCAGAGGAGAAGCGACAACAGGCCCAAAGGUACAAUAGAGACAAAGUCAAUAAAGGUCGACCGAAAAGUGAUGAGGGAGUUCCUGAUAGAGAAGGUCUUGCCAGCGAUACAAGCUGUUUGGCCAGAAAGUGAUGCUGGACAGACCAUCUACAUUUAG
rnacentral:rRNA from 1 species